AGCGAACGCUGGCGGCGUACUUAACACAUGCAAGUCGAACGAGGAUCGCUACGUGAGCAAUCAUGCGGCGGUUCUAGUGGCGUACGGGUGAGUAACACGUGGGCAACCUGCCCUGGAGCCUGGGAUACCCUCUCGAAAGGGAGGCUAAUACCGGAUACGUUCCCCGGGUCGCGAGAUCUGGGGAGGAAAGGUGGCGCAAGCUGCCGCUCUUGGAGGGGCUCGCGGCCUACAGCUAGUUGGUGAGGUAAUGGCUCACCAAGGCUAUGGACGGGUAGCUGGUCUGAGAGGACGACCAGCCACGACGGGGACUGAGACACCGGCCCCGACU
rnacentral:rRNA from 1 species